AUGGCUCUUUCCCUGACCUCACCAACAUGUUACCUAGACGUCCUAACACAGCACCUUGGUGGCCUCAGUCAACCCCCAUUCAGACAUUCACUGUCCACCUCCUGCUUUUCCAUUUGCGCCAGGACACUGAACAUCAAAGCAGUGCCAAGAAGCCAGACUGAAACCAUACUGUACUCAAGACACUGCACUGAGAGAAGAGUACAAAAAGCCAGAAAAAGAGAGAGAGCCACUAACAAAGUGAUGUUUUUCUGGGCCUCACCUCGCUUAACAAUCUGCCUUCUUUAUUCUUCUGCCUCCAUGGGAAGAACGGACAAUCAAGAUUUCUAUAGGAUGAAGGAAGUUGAGAAAAGCUUUCAACUGGGAGUGGGGAAAAGAGAAAGCGACAAAGCCCACUUAGCUAAGAGGGCUGCAGACAGAAGGAGUUUGGAAAGCCCCAUAUGCUCUCCCCUCUCCCCUUUCUGUAGCUCCAUCUGUCCCACACCCUCCCUUCUGCAGCGAGGCCAUGCCAAUGUCAUUUUGGGGCUGGAGCAGGACAGACAUCCCCAGAGCUGCACAAGAGCAGAGGGACACUAA
rnacentral:lncRNA from 1 species